rnacentral:rRNA from 1 species
UACGUAGGGGGCAAGCGUUGUCCGGAAUCAUUGGGCGUAAAGAGCGUGUAGGCGGCCAGAUAAGUCCGCUGUGAAAUCUCGAGGCUCAACUUCGAGCUGUCGGUGGAAACUGUCUGGCUAGAGUCCGGAAGAGGAGAAUGGAAUUCCUGGUGUAGCGGUGAAAUGCGCAGAUAUCAGGAAGAACACCCGUGGCGAAGGCAGAUCUCUGGGCCGUAACUGACGCUGAGGAGCGAAAGCAUGGGGAGCGAACAGG